AAGGAUCAUUAACAAAUUCCACACUCGUCUUUGGGGAGGCGUUGCUGAAGGCAACGUGCAUGGCCCUGUGGCUACGCUGUUGACAAAGCUGCCUCCUCAUAUACAUAGACAACAUUCACUUUUAUACUUGACACAUGAUGGAGAACCAAAUUGGUUAAAUUAAAAACAACUUUUAACAAUGGAUCUCUCGGCUCUU
rnacentral:misc_RNA from 1 species